rnacentral:rRNA from 1 species
GAUGAACGCUGGCGGUAUGCCUAAUACAUGCAAGUCGAACGGUACCAUCGGGUACUGUGGCGGCCGGGUGUGUCAGCCGUGAGAAUCUUUCUUCAGGUCUGGGACAACAGUUAGAAAUGACUGCCAAUACGGGACGUGACGAAAGGUCAAAGAUUUAUUGUCUGAAAAAGAGCUCGCGUUAGAUUAGCUAGUAGGUGGUGUAAGUGAAUACCUACGCUUCGAUCUGUAGCUGGUGUGAGAGAACGAGCAGCCACUCUGGAACUGAGACACGGUCCCGACUCCUACGGGAUGCAGCAGUGGGGAAUGUUCCGCAAUGGGCGAAAUCCUGACGGAGCAAGACCCCGUGAGGGACGAAGGCUGUGAAGUCGUAAACCUCUUUUCACAAGGAAGAUUCAGACGGUACUUGAUGAAUAAGCAUCGGCUAACUCUGUG